GUGCCAGCAGCCGCGGUAAUACGUAGGUGGCAAGCGUUGUCCGGAUUUACUGGGCGUAAAGGAUGUGUAGGCGGAUAUUUAAGUGAGAUGUGAAAUCCCCGGGCUCAACUUGGGGGCUGCAUUUCAAACUGGAUGUCUGGAGUGCAGGAGAGGAAAGCAGAAUUCCUAGUGUAGCGGUGAAAUGCGUGUAGAUUAGGAAGAAUACCAGUGGCGAAGGCGUCUUUCUGGACUGUAACUGACGCUGAGGCAUGAAAGCGUGGGGAGCAAAAAGGAUUAGAUUCCCUGGUAGGCCACGCCGUAAACGAUGAAUACUAGGUGUAGGAGGUAUCGACUCCUUCUGUGCCGCAGUUAACAAAAUAAGUAUUCCGACUGGGAAGUACGG
rnacentral:rRNA from 1 species